rnacentral:rRNA from 1 species
CUUGACGACCAUAGAGCGUUGGAACCACCUGAUCCCAUCCCGAACUCAGUAGUGAAACGACGCAUCGCCGAUGGUAGUGUGGUGCUUCACCAUGUGAGAGUAGG